CGCCCUCGUAGCUCAGCUGGACAGAGCAAGAGCCUUCUAAUCUCUAGGUCGCAGGUUCGAGUCCUGCCGGGGGCGCCC
rnacentral:tRNA from 1 species